GUUGGACGCUUAACAGACUGAGCCCCCCAGGUGCCCCUGAAGUCUGUAAGAUUUAAAUUUUCCCUGUGAGACUUACUAGCUAUGUUACUUUGAAUAAAUUAAUCUUCCUCUACCUUACUUUCCUGAUCUGUAAACUUGUAUUAAUAAUAGGACCAAACAUUGGGAAGUUAUAAAAGUAGACUAAAUCAGGUAAUAGACGUUUUAAAAAAUGUCUGACCCUCAUACAUGUUAACACUAGAAUUACUAUUAUUAUUAUUGAAAUUAGUGAGAGCAUAUGGACCAGUUGGGAAUGGGUUUGGCUAUAAAGUGUAUGAUGACAAUUUUUUAAAAUGAGAUUAAUCUAAAACUUUCUUAAUGUCACUAAAUCAAGUAUAUAAUUAGAACUCAUAUGCAAUAUUAUUUAAAAAUUAAGAAUUUUUAUUUUUGGAAAGAACAUGCAAAAAUAAGUACAAAAGGAGUGCUUUACUUUUAAUUUUAGAUUAUUCUUCAAAGGACCAUGUUCUUAAUACCUAAUGCUCCUGAUUUCUUAUUUUUUCCCAAUUCAGGCUACAAAAAAAUUCCAACAAAUAAUAUGAAAGCAGUAAUUAUUAUCCUGGCUAAUGGAUUUCAAGUUACUUAAUACCUGGAAAUGCCAUACACUUUCUAUCUUGCAUCAGCAUGAAAAAAAAUUCUUCUAGUAUCAAAUAACUGCUUGGAGUCAUACUGUUCCGAUCUCUCUUUUGAUAUAACAUACCUUAAAAAGAUUCAAAGACUGGAAUUGCAAAAAAGAAAUGAUUGGUAAUACACGUGUAUACCCAAUUCAGAAGAUUUUUUUUUUUUUAAUUCAAGACUUGAAACCUCCAACCACAUCUGCCCAUUCAUCAUUCCAGACAUUUUGCAACCAGGACAAAGAGAGAAGCAGCCAAGAGACUUGGCUUGUGGCCUGUCUAUGUUCUAUGAUUAGCCUCUGUCCCAGCAAGCAGUGUGGAACAAACAAACAAGCAAACAAACACUCCAGCUAACAAAGUCACUCUGGAUCCCUAGCUGCUAGUGCCCUGAGGAGCAGUUGACGGGGGCACUCCCCAGUCCUGCAGAGUGGAGCAGUUAGAACUCAAGCAAAAGGCUAGUCUCUGAGGCUGUCAGAAUGGCUGAAAAGUGAAGACUCUAGAAAGCAGAUGACCACAUAGGAGGAGUAGUGAAUUCUGCAUAUAGAUUCAGCCCAAAUCUUUGACUUCUGUUCUGCACAUUCAUGGGAGAAACGCCAAGCAGCACAGCUAGAAGAAGCAGGCUAACAGAUCUAGGCAGAGAUUACCAUUGCUGGUGACCAUAGAGGAGACAGAGCUCAGAAUUUGAGUCCAAUAGAACAACGCUCACCAGUUUCCAGAAAACCACGGAGCAUCCACGUUUGGCAAAAGUAUCAUUCAAAAUUUGAAGGCAUAACAAAGACAUUUUCAGACAAAGGCUGAGAGAAUACAUCACCAGCAGACUUGAAGGAAUAUGAUAUAGUGUGGAAAUUUGGAUCUUCACAAAAGGAUAAAGAGUGCCAGAAAAGAAGAGGAAGACACCACCAGAUGACCCAGACUGAUCUUAUCUCGAGAUAAUUUCCUUCGAAGAGAAAUCAGGAAGGAAUUUGUUAUGCAGAAUUUAGGAUUUGGCCAGAUCUGGAAGCAUCUAAAGCCUGCUGAGGAAUGACAGUUUUCAAAUGCCCGGUAUAUAAAAUAACUUUAAAAUUUUCUGUUAACUUGUUCGUUUUGGGGGAAGAGUUUCUUUUGAUUUGUCCUUUGACUCUUCACAACCUGUGACCUGUUUCCAACCCAGGACCCGGUUCUUCUGAGGAUGGAAGGGAGUUGGAACUCCGCUCAAAUAUUCUUUCCCUUUCUCACAUCCCAACCCCUUCUGUGAUCCAAGCCCUCAAAACAUAAAGGAUGGUCAUCUUUCAAUUUUAAAAUUAUAACACUAAACGUUUCUUUAUUCAAGGAA